rnacentral:rRNA from 1 species
GAUGAACGCUGGCGGCGUGCCUAAUACAUGCAGGUCGAGCGAACAGACGAGGAGCUUGCUCCUCUGACGUUAGCGGCGGACGGGUGAGUAACACGUGGAUAACCUACCUAUAAGACUGGGAUAACUUCGGGAAACCGGAGCUAAUACCGGAUAAUAUAUUGAACCGCAUGGUUCAAUAGUGAAAGACGGUUUUGCUGUCACUUAUAGAUGGAUCCGCGCCGCAUUAGCUAGUUGGUAAGGUAACGGCUUACCAAGGCAACGAUGCGUAGCCGACCUGAGAGGGUGAUCGGCCACACUGGAACUGAGACACCGUCCAGACUCCUACGGGAGGCAGCAGUAGGGAAUCUUCCGCAAUGGGCGAAAGCCUGACGGAGCAACGCCGCGUGAGUGAUGAAGGUCUUCGGAUCGUAAAACUCUGUUAUUAGGGAAGAACAAAUGUGUAAGUAACUAUGCACGUCUUGACGGUACCUAAUCAGAAAGCCACGGCUAACUACGUG